rnacentral:lncRNA from 1 species
GACUCACCUGAUGGUCUCUGGGAGCAUCUUGAUGAGAGGAGGGACCUCUCCAGAGUCUGAGACGUUGGUAGGGGCCAUUUUUCUGACCUGGUCCAGGCCUGCUGACACCGACCCUAGUAGGUGCCAUUGAGAUUCAUCCCUUGGCCUGUUAGCCCAGGGGUCUGCCACACCCACUAGACCACAGAUUUAAUCCAGUUCAGUCAAGGCAAGCAGCCCACCCAUGGACUGGCCCCACCCAACAGCAAGCCCUCUGGCUACUUUUCAGCCUGCAUUGACUGGAUGCCUUGAUCCUCUACAGGCAGAUGAACCCCCAUUUGGGAAGAGGAAAUGUCCGCCUCCCCUACAAUUCCCUGACAUAUGGAGCAAGGGCUAUCAUGAUGGG